CCCUAACAAGCUCCUUUCAAAAAAAGACUUGGGAACGUUAAUUGUAAGGAAGGUCACAAAUGCUUCAUUCGGUUUCCUCCAUUAUCUGUUUCUGCUGC